rnacentral:rRNA from 1 species
UAGCCUUUUAAUUGGAGGCCUGCAUGAAUGGCUUGACGAGCGCCCUGCUGUCUCUCUUCCCAUGAACUUUUAAAUUAACUUUCGCGUGCAAAGGCGCGAAUGGCUGAGUUAGACGAAAAGACCCUAUGCAUCUUUACUGAGAGAGAAGAAAGUUCUUUAGCUUGGUUUAGCUGGGGCAGCUGAGGAAAAGGCAAAAUUUCCUUAAUAUAAAUCAUACUGGUGGGUUUAGAUCCAGGCUCUUUAGCGGGCUUGACAAGUAGAAAAGUUACGCUAGGGAUAACAGCGUUAUCCUUCUGUGGAGGUCUUAUCUGCAGGAGGGAUUGCGACCUCGAUGUUGAAUUAGGGAUAUACCAGAAAGGCGCAGAAGCUUUUAUUGUGGGUCU